AUUGAACGCUGGCGGCAGGCCUAACACAUGCAAGUCGAGCGGAGCGGCGGACGGGUGAGUAAUGCCUCGGAAUCUGCCUGGUUGUGGGGGAUAACGUCCGGAAACGGGCGCUAAUCCCGCAUACUAUCAGAUGAGCCUAGGUGGGAUUAGAUAGUUGGUGGGGUAAAGGCCUACCAAGGCGACGCUCCGUCACUGGGCGGAGAGGAUGAUCAGUCAAACGGGAACUGAGCCACGGUCCCGAAUCCUACGGUAGGCAGCAGUGGGGAAUAUUGGACAAUGGGCGAAAGCCUGAUCCAGCUAGGCCGCGUGUGUGAAGAAGGUCUUCGGAUUGUAAAGCACUUUAAGUUGGGAGGCGUUACCAACAGAAUAAGCACCGGCUAACUUCGUGCCAGCAGCCGCGGUAAUUC
rnacentral:rRNA from 1 species